rnacentral:lncRNA from 1 species
UACAACCCUGACAAAAUGGUUCGGCAAAACUCAACAGCUCUGCUGCUGCAGUCAUCAUCCCGGCAAAAUCUGAAGAAAUAAAGCUAAAAG